UGGGGAAUAUUGCACAAUGGGCGAAAGCCUGAUGCAGCGACGCCGCGUGAGGGAUGACGGUCUUCGGGUUGUAAACCUCUUUCAGCAGGGACGAAGCGCAAGUGACGGUACCUGCAGAAGAAGCACCGGCUAACUACGUGACAGCAGCCGAGGUAAUACGUAGGGUGCAAGCGUUGUCUGGAAUUACUGGGCGAAUAGAGUUCGUAGGCGGUUUGUCGCGUCGUUUGUGAAAACCAGCAGCUCAACUGCUGGCAUGCAGGCGAUACGGGUAGACGUGAGUACUGCAGGGGAGGCUAGAAUACCUGGUGUAGCGGUGAAAUGUGCAGAUAUCAGGAGGGACACCGGUGGCGAAAGCGGAUCUCUGGGCAGUAACUGACGCUGAGGAACGAAAGAGUGGGUAGCGAACAGG
rnacentral:rRNA from 1 species